UGACGAGUGGCGGACGGGUGAGUAAUGUCUGGGAAACUGCCUGAUGGAGGGGGAUAACUACUGGAAACGGUAGCUAAUACCGCAUAACGUCGCAAGACCAAAGAGGGGGACCUUCGGGCCUCUUGCCAUCGGAUGUGCCCAGAUGGGAUUAGCUAGUAGGUGGGGUAACGGCUCACCUAGGCGACGAUCCCUAGCUGGUCUGAGAGGAUGACCAGCCACACUGGAACUGAGACACGGUCCAGACUCCUACGGGAGGCAGCAGUGGGGAAUAUUGCACAAUGGGCGCAAGCCUGAUGCAGCCAUGCCGCGUGUAUGAAGAAGGCCUUCGGGUUGUAAAGUACUUUCAGCGGGGAGGAAGGGAGUAAAGUUAAUACCUUUGCUCAUUGACGUUACCCGCAGAAGAAGCACCGGCUAACUCCGUGCCAGCAGCCGCGGUAAUACGGAGGGUGCAAGCGUUAAUCGGAAUUACUGGGCGUAAAGCGCACGCAGGCGGUUU
rnacentral:rRNA from 1 species